UUUUUUUUUUAAGCAGUAGAUAGUAUGUUAUAUGUUUCGUUUAUUUUAUUUAAAAAUAGAUUUAACUAAAAAUAUGAAUCAACUAGAAUUCGAAUUUGAGAUAUCGGAUAUUAACCAUCAAAUAUUUGCCACUUGCGCUAGGGACAGUUACAUGUUUAUUUUGAUCGAACUUGAGGUUAAAAUUAUUGAUUUUGUAAUCAAAAUUCGCUGGUGUUAGGACGGAAUUAGAGAGCUCGACUUUU
rnacentral:lncRNA from 1 species